rnacentral:lncRNA from 1 species
AGUAUCUCGAUCUUGGCUCGAAUAAAUUGACAGGCACAAUAGAACUUGGCUCUAUAUGGAGGUUGAAAAAUCUCAUUGAUCUCGACCUGGGUAACAAUAUGAUAUCACUCGUAGAAAAAGAAGGUGAUACGAUAUUCUCUUAUUCCCUUAAAAUCCGGACCUUAUACCUUGCAUCUUGCAACCUUACAAAAUUUCCGGAAUCAUUAAAAUAUCUUGACACUAUUCAAAGGCUCGACCUUUCCAAUAACCAAAUUGAAGGGGCCAUACCAAGUUGGUUGUGGGAGAAACCCCUGGUUAGGUUGAACCUCUCACACAACAUGUUUACUACUUUAGAGAGGUCUCCUACUUUUCAGAUGACAGAUUUAGAUUCUCUUGAUCUCAGUUUUAAUAGAAUUCAAGGAAGCAUACCAAUACCAUCAACUCCAUCUUACCUAGUUCUGUUGGAUUACUCAAAUAAUGACUUCUCUACCAUGGAACCUAACUUUGGCAGGUAUCUUAGAAAUGCCAUCUACAUCAAUUUGUCAAAAAAUAAAUUAAGUGGCCAUGUACCACUUUCAUUUUGUAGUUUAAACCAACUUAAGCUCAUGGACUUAUCUUACAAUAACUUUAGUGGACCAAUUCCAUCAUGUCUUAUGGAAAGAGUUGACCUGAGCAUAUUGAAGUUAAGAGGAAACAAAUUACAUGGCGUGCUACCUGAAAAUAUCAGAGAAGGAUGUAAGCUUCAGACAAUUGAUUUCAAUGAAAAUCAAAUUGAAGGUGCGCUACCUAGAUCACUAGCAAAAUGCCAAGACUUAGAGGUUCUUGAUGUUGGCAGUAAUCAUAUUGUAGAUUCAUUUCCAUCAUGGAUGGGUACUCUUCCAAAGCUUCAAAUUCUUGUGUUGAGAUCUAACAAACUCUAUGGCACUAUAAGGGAUCUUCGCAGGGGCUACCAACACUUUACAAGUUUGCAAAUAGUUGAUUUGGCCUCCAACCAUUUCUCUGGUGACUUACAUUCCGAAUGGUUUGAGAAUUUUAUUUCAAUGAUGAAUAACAGCAAUGAUGAGGGGCAGAUAUUAGAGCACCAUCCAACUGCAGCAAUGGCACGAUUGUAUCAAGAUACUGUCACUAUCACAUUCAAAGAUGCUGUUUUAAGCAUCACCAAAAUCCUUCGUGCUUUCAAAGUAAUUGAUUUGUCAAAUAACUCAUUUGAGGGUUCCAUUCCAAGUUCAAUUGGAAGACUUGCUUCACUUCACGGACUUAACAUGUCGCACAAUAACUUCACGGGAGAAAUUCCAUCACAACUUGGGAAGUUAACAAGGUUGGAAUCAAUGGAUCUCUCUUGCAACCAUCUCUCGGAAGAAAUUCCACAGGAGUUUACCUCUCUAACUUCUCUUUCCUGGUUGAACCUUUCGUACAACAACUUGACAGGAAGAAUACCGCAGGGAAACCAAUUCUUGUCAUUUCCCAGCAGUUCGUUUGAAGGCAAUGCUGGCCUAUGUGGAAUUCAGCUUUCCAAGGAAUGUGACCCUCAUCCAGAUUCAACCACCCCAAGCACAUUGGCUCCAGAACACAAUGCUUUGUGGCAGGAUAGACUCGACGCCAUCAUUUUGUUCCUCUGUGCUGGCUUGGGCUUUGGCGUGGGUUUUGCAUUGGCAAUCAUAUUCGGUCCCUUUUACCACAUAGAAGAAUGGCUUUGCAAGCAUUUGUAAUAGUAAUAUAAGUUUUCAACAAGAAUAAUUAUGUAUGUUUGUGCUGUACUCGUUAUUAGAUGAGACAACUUAAAUCCACUCAGUUGUAAUUACGUUGUAACUAGUCCACCAACCCGUACUUCCACAUGGGCCAAUAUUUUUAAAAACUGUUGUAUUUGAAAAUUAUUUAGAAAUUAAACUCCAAGCUAAUAAUAAAAAGGGUUUACUUAUUACUCUCUCAUUUUUUCAAUACUUCAACAUAUUACUCAUAUGAUGUGUACUUAUCUCUGUUCAGUUGUGAUUGAUUUUUAAUUAGUAAUUACUCUAUACACUUUUUCAUCACAUUCACACUUUUUCAUUUUAUAUUGCACCUCCAUACAUUGUGUUUAGCAUCAAAAUUAAUAUUUCCAUCACUUCCUCACAUACAUGUAUAAAUGGUCUUCAUGGCGAUACUCAUCAUGUCUAUAUACCUUAACUUAGUAUUUCUCUAUUAACAAGAACAUAAACUAGUAACUAGAAUCAUAUAUUAGUUUUUUUGGACAUUUCUGUAUGAUGCACAUGCACAAAGAUAAUUAGAUUAAGAAUUAGGUGUUUACUUUAGAUUAUUUUUAAAAACGACAUACAUGGGUAACUUAGAUACAAACUUAGAAUGUCAUUUUAAGUUAUGCUUUAUAAUGAUAGACAUGAGUAAAUUGGAUGAAGAUUAUGGGCUUACUUUACAUUAUUUUUUAUAAUGGCAGAGCUCGGUAAUUUAGAUAUAGGUUUAGUGUUUAAAUGAUAGUGGUGGGUAACUUUUUAGAAACUAUAAUAUACCAAUGACUAUGAUUAAUAUAGUUUGCAUGAUCGAUAUUUGAUAUUUAUGAUUUUUAUGAGAAUUUCUAGGAUUUGUGUUUUUUAGCGUAUCUCUUCGUGCAGCCGUUGAGUUGUCCACUUAUGAUCCUAGGUAGCUUCACCUGGAGGCUUUAAAAGGAGACUCCAAUUAGUAAUAGUUACUGCAUUUCAUAAGUGAUUUUCAAAGAUAAUUUUUUGAGGCAAUAAAAAAAGUUGUGAUAUCACCUAGGUCUCAAAGAAAGUUGUGAUACCACUCUCCUUUUUGUUUUAUUUUUAUUUUAUUUUUCUGAUUCUCAUGUGUACAGCUUUGCAUGAUCAAGAAAAUUUAGGUAUGGUCUCCUCUCCCGACUUCUUCCUUUAAAAUUUGACAUCGAAGCGUGCGGAUUCUUCAUUUCAGGUGUUUCUUCUCAUUUUUCUUCGUUUUCUUUUCUUUUCCAAUUGUAGCUCAUUUUUCUUUUCAGCCCAUUCUUCUUUAUUUCAGGUGUCCGGAUUCUUUUCUUUUCGUUUUCUUUCCGUAUGCUCCUCUUGACCUUCAAUAUGCUUAACAUGUCAAACAAUAACUUCACGGGACAUAUUCCACCAGAACUUGUUAACUGUUGGCGGUCCUUAAAUACCAUAUCCGACCAUCAAUUCUAAUAAAGAAUAGUGAAAUAACAAAAACCAAACUAGAGAUAGGGGUUUAACUCUAACCAUUUUCACAAGCUUUGGUGAAUCAUUGUUUACAGGAGAUCGCGUCUCCAUACGAGGGAAAACAUGCUCAAACCCAUGAAGAAACACACGCUUCGGCCUAUCCUGAUAGAGCAUGAUACAAGAAGGGCCCACAUGACAUACUGUUGGCGCUAAAGAUCAGCCGAUCGAAUCUCAGCGUCGGACACACGACCCGGGAGAAUCUGCUUAACUCCUAUUCGGGUGAUCGCCCUAGUGCGGUUCGCGCGGCGUGCCAGCCAAUCUGACCUGUUGAUUGGCAAGGAAAGAAACGUGUCAGAUCCCAGAGGUUGCGAUCGGCUAAGGUUCCGAUCUCGAGGAAGCUUGUCAGCGACUCGGCCGAUUUGCUAUAAUAAGGAAAUCGGCUAUAGCGCAGCCGACUACUAGGUAACAUUUGUGAAGAAAGCUAUCAGAGUAAACUAAAAAAACGCUACAAUAGCAACACUUGAAACAGAUCUAAUCGGCUAUGCAAAAGCAGCGGAUAAGCGAUAAAUAUAAGUAAGCCGAAAGCUCUAAUUCCAAGCUAGAUAACUGGUGAUAAAAUUAGAACAGUAGGUAAACCCUAGAAUUCUAGUAAAUAUCGAUAACUGAUGAAUAAAUCUAAACGAAAUGACAGCGAUGCGCCCGAAGUUAAAGCUUAGAUAUUACUCGAUAAACGGAACUUACAGAAUCGUCCGGAGAUCAAGUCGAUGCAGCCCCGCCAACCCGUACGAACUCGUGGAAAGAAGAAAAGUACUGGCGAAGUCGCCGACUUAAAAAUAAAGUACGAGGAAAUAGUAGAUUGUUGUAUUGAUUUGAUGUUGUUUUUUCAGAUCUCUAAAGACGGCUAUUUAUAGCCUGUUACAACCAAUCUCUUAACCGACUAGGACUCUAUCUCUAAUAUUAAACGAAAAUGAAUAUUUACAAGCAUAACUCGUAUCGGAGUUGGUCGCCGCGCUCUUGUGGGCCAAUCCCCCCAUUAUCUUCGUAAUCCACUUUAAGCCCAUACUGGCCCAAUUGCUCCAGCCUCUUAAUCGGCCGAUCUGUACCAACUCCGUCCGCCAAAACACUGCAGCGUCAAUCGGCCAAUCUCCAACUAUAGCACCAAUCGGCCGAUUCCCAAUCGUGACCUUUUCAUCCUGCCGCAUCAGCUAAUCCUUCCCUUUCUUGACGCCGAUUCCAUACGUGUCAAAAAUUGGCGUCAACACAUACCAAAUCGCCUUAUCUUGGCGCGGGCCACCCUAGAUCCACAUGAGGAGCCCACAAGGAUCCACGACCAAAUUUGGGCCCAAACGGAGCCAGUAGGGGCUUGGCCGAACCCAUGGUUCGACCAAUCUGCCACUGGGCCCGAUCAAGCCCAUCUUUCGUGUGGAGUCUCCCACUGCCUUACUCGAGGCGGUUGCGGGAGGUUGGCGCGAAGCAACAAACCUGGACAUGGGAUCCUUCAGGAGUGGAGGGGAUAGAGGGAAUAUUCUAUGGGAUCUUUGGAGCAUAUCCACUCCCCCAAGGCUCCCUCUCCAAUAUAAAAGACCCCUUUGUCUCCAUUCAGCAAACAACAACACACAAGAGAAGAAGAGCUCCACCACUCCAAGGUAAAGGCCUACCUCUGUAGUGCUUAGAAAAUAGGGAGAGAGUGAGAGGUAGUUCGGAGAAGUGCUUAGAAAAAAGUUGUGAUAUCACCUAGACCUCAAAGAAAGUUGUGAUACUACUCUCCUUUUUGUUUUCUUUUUAUUUUUUUCUGAUUCUCAUGAGUACAGCUUUGCAUGAUCAAUAAAAUUUAGGUAUGGUCUCCCCUCCCGACUUCUUCCUUUAAAAUUUGACAUCGAAGCGUGUGGAUUCUUCAUUUCAGGUGUUUCUUCUCAUUUUUCUUCGUUUUCUUUUCUUUUACAAUUGCAGCUCAUUUUUCUUUUCAGCCCAUUCAUCUUUAUUUCAGGUGUGCAGAUUCUUUUCUUCUCCUUUUCUUUCCAUAUGCUCCUCUUGACCUCUUGGUUUUUACUACUACACUAGUGUGAUCAAGAAAUAUCUUGAAGCUUAGUUGUCUAUUAGCUAUACAUGAGUUGUUACCUAGUUGGCAUAUGUGAGUUGUUAUCUAGUUGUCAUAUUUGUUGUGAGUGAGUUGUGUCAGUCUUAUGAGCCUAUAAAUAGAGGCAAGCCUCAAGUUUGUAACUUGGUUUUGAUGUACCCACUACCUUAUGAAUAGGACAUGUUCUACCCUUUAGAUCUUGUACACUAAGGGCUUUGGACUAAACUCUUGCUAUCCAUGGAUUUGGAUUCGACCUUUUGAUCCAUCUUUGACUCUAGAACGAUAUGUAGCUCAGCACGUUGAAGUGGUUCCUUCAACACUUUGUGCUGUUUCUACCUAUUAGCACAUUGGAGAGGUUCCUCCAAUACUUGUGCUAUAUUUAUCUAUUUGUAGCAGCACCGUGGAGCUGUUCCUCCACAUUAGUGUUCUGAACUGCACCGUUGUAAUUCCACCAUAGAAAUAGGGCCAGUUCCGCCAUCAUCCAUUUAUGCACCAUACAUUUGUCAUGCGCUUUCCAGUUUGUAUUCCCAAAAUAGCAGAAUUCUUGAUAUGCUGGUUGUGACAGUAGCAUCAUCUCCAGACCUUUAGCUAACAUAUAUCCUUGCAUAGCUAUUUGUAACAGCUUACUCAGUGUUUGUCGCCACUCGAGAAUUGACCAGUUAAAUGGGCAUGCAGCUACACAAGAGAAAUGACUGCAAUAGUUCUCUUGGUAUGUAAAUACAUCCAUUUCUUGACCAUUAGGUUAACCAGACCGCUCAGCUGUAACCAUCCAUCCAUAUUGCAGGCUUCAUGAUCAAAUAAAAUAGCAUGAAGGUAUGACUGAAACAAACCAAGUCCUCGCCUGUAGCAAACAUCAAAUUGAUUCCCACACUCCAUCCUGAUUUGAAAAUGGAAAGGCCUCACUAUGCACAUGCUCAGUAGGUAAAUUUGUACGCAAGAAGAUUUUAUCUCUGAUGCCAUGGUUCCUAAGACAGCCACUUCACAAUUCUUACCAUUGAUGAUCCUAGAAUCAUAAGAUGCACAUCACUAGUUGAAUGAAGGUAAUCUUUCAACCACUGCUUUCUCACCUUGACUCUAGUAGAAUUGGCAGUCAAUAUGGACCACAGCCAUAAGGAUAUAUUUUGCACUACCAGCAUACUCACACAUGCAUUUCAGUUACUUGACAUUAUUAGAUCUACGAAGUAAUAGUCCUUCACCUAGAACUGUAUGCUGAAAUCGUCAUACCAUACCUCUCACACAUCCAUGUGGUUUGGACUGUGGACUGACCAACACAUCAGCCGCUAUUAGCCAUUGGUGUUUUUGACAGCAUUCUAACUUGAUAGCAACUAAAACUGAAAGCCGGCCAAGGUGCUGGUUGUAUCUCAGCACCACUAUCCAUAAUAUCCAGUUGUAUUGGCGGUGGCCAUGGAUGCUUCAGAAGCUCACCAUCUCUGCUUGGCUGAAUGGCGUCCACAAUAUUGGCCUUAGAUCAUCUGCACUGUGCAAACUCCAUGUAGUAUAGCAUGUGGCAGGAACAGGAGUACCGGCAUUACCCUGAACACCUUGCGGGCAUUGUAGACACCAGUGCCAAUACACAGCAGAAACAUGUCAUCUGUUGGAGCCGGGCUCUCGCUGGUGAUUUGGAAGUUGCAGACGUUGUUGCUGUUGAUUGUGGUGAACAAAGUUGGGGUGGUGACUAGAGGCCUAGAGCACUCAUGGUCGGUAGAACACAAGCAUUGUGGAUAUGACUGGGCGUUGAACACCUGUUGGGCGUCACAGAUUAGCACUCCGUAGUGGUGAUAGAGAUGGCUAGGGCGGCAUCCUGGUAAGAGUAGAGGUGGAGGUAGAGGGAGGUGCCGAGGAUGCGGUCUUGGACACCAGAAUGCAGGUGUCACCGUAAAGGGAAGUCUUUGGACACCUUGUGGGCGCCAUCUCUAGAACGUCGCUGGCCCUGACAGAACGACGCAGAAAGCUGUUGGUGAUGCCGAGGUCAUGGCUCUAGGCACUUGAAAGCAGGUAGCCGCCAUCAAACACCUGGUGGGCGCCACUGGUUGAAGCUCCGUGGCCGUGACGAGAAUGACAAUAGAGGCAUCCUGUGGUGGAAAGGAGGUCAGUGAAGGCACAACUGAGCAUUCCUUUCCUCGAUCAUCCGAUUCAUGUCAUCCCACUUCUGAUCUAGUUCUUCAAGGUUGGCUAGUAUCACAGCACACAUCUCCUCCGUCAUGUUCACUCGUAUUCCAAUGCGGUGCUAGUGGUGGUUUUUUGAUCGAAAUAGUUGUGAACCAAAUGUCACACCCUAGAUGCAACUCACAGAACAAAUUAUCUCCCAACAAUGAACUACGGAAUAUAUAUGGAGUAUACUAGAAUUUGGAUACACAUGGAUGAGGAACUCGCUGGUGUUCUCGAGCCGAAGCUCGCCGCCGCAGAGCCGAUGAGUCCCAAAUCCAGUUCUUCUGUCCCUCACGAUGAUAACGCUGCGCCAGCUACGCUAUCUACGCCAGCUACGCUGCUACGCUGCUAGAAUUAGAGUGAGAUGACCAACACAUUCUGCGCCAGCUACGCUGCAGCGAUGCCCGUUCAUGGGCCUAUCUUAACUACCUUAGCCAUUCGGGCCCAACAAGGAUAAUGUUGGGCUUCCGUACCUGAUGGCCCACAACUUCGGCUUUACUGCACUUAAGAUAAAUAUCAUGUACGGUUCACUGGAGAAGCCCUCCACCAGUUGUAGUUGCUAGUUAGUACAGGUCUUAUCUACAACCCUGCAUUAGCUAUCUCACUCUAAUUUGGCUAGCUGUCAGGACAGUCUGCUUACUCGAAACUUGAGGCAUGUUUCUUUAAUAUAAUUUUCUUUUCUUCUUGGAUGUUUAUAGCGCAUACGUGAUCUUUUGAAGUACUGCUAUAGAGAGGAAGACAAGUUCUUCUCAUUUAACAUCUUUUUUUUAAUUUAUUUUUGUUAAACUUUUAGAUCAAUCGUUUGAAUUCUCCUCAAUAUUUGCUUGCUUCAUGUUCUCUUUGUUUUUGUGCAACAGUAUGAUCUUGGAAUAGGAAUGCUGCAAGACAAUUCAAAUAGAAGGUUAGUUUCAUCAUAUUAUAUGGUUAAAAUUACUUUAAAAUUAUAUGGUUAAAAUUACUUUGUAAUGGUUGACUGUCACUGUUGUUUGCAUUGGCAGAUCAUGGAUGGAAUUCCUGCAAGAGCCAAGCACAAACUGUUGUCAGCGCUUCUCUGUUGAUGUUUCGUUUCUCGUUGCCACCUUUCUUGCAGACCGGUUAGGGUUAGGUUACACCAUCUGCUUCAGGUGAUUUCGGGAAUGUGGAAUGUUUCCUCUUCAUUUGAGAAGAAAGAGAGAGUGUUUUGUUGGAAUAUUACUGGUGCGUAGGUUUAUGCAUGGCUUUUCAGGGCUCAAAUCAAGGGGAAAAAAUAGACUAAUGGGCUGGUAAAUUUAUGUUCUGGUAAAAAUAGACUAAUGGCUUUAUUUAGUUCCACGAAUCCUGGUGAACUCCGGAACUUAAAAUGAAAUCCUAAAAUUGUUUCUCUAACCUCCUAUCUCAAUAUGGGCUGUUCUUUUUUUUUUUCUGGUCAACUAUUUCCCCCAACUUACGGACCCAUCUCGGCCUGCAGGCCUGCCGAGGCCUCUUCUCUCCUUUCGUCGUUCGGUCCCUCUAAUUUCGCUCUUGUGCUUGCGCACCAGGCGCCAUCUCUCACCGCGCCAGGAGCUUUGCAGCGCCAGACGGCCCCGCUCCACACCACAAUAUUCUUCCUUGGAACCUGCGGGCUCCGCUGAGCCGCUGCGUGAUCUUCUAUUCGCGACUCUGUGUACCUCGCCAUGUUACAAUUGCCUUCACUUUACUUCAUCAUUGCUCUCUAACCUAGGUACUCGGUUAUGAACAGCGCGCCGGCUAAGCGAGUACCCGGUGAAGGCGAGCGCAACGAGCCCUAGCACAUGGCAUCCAUCGAAAAUACAGAAUUUUCAGAGUAUGGAAUUUUCAGUCCGCGGUGUGGCCAACAUUAUCUUUAUAUGAUUUUAUUUGCAAACCGAGUUUUUAAGUAACAACGUAAAUAAAACACUCUCGUAUCAUUGCUCUAAAGGGGGAGUAAGGAAUAACAGAAAUAACGUCGUGCCAUUCCCCAGAAACAAAGAACAACUGUAAAAAUUGGUUCUAGAUGAAGCUAAAUUGACCAUCGAUGGCGAUUGUGUCAACACGGCAAACAUCCAUACAGCUAGCAUUGACUGACUUGGCUGAUAAAUCCAGGCCACUUCACUGUUGAGUACUUCAGGAAACUCGACAGGUCUUAUGACAAGUCUCGGUUGACUCGAAUUAUUGACCUUAGGACACUGACCUUGAUUUCCUCAUCCCCUUUCCUAUUGUCUUGCGGUCCAGAUGCCCAUUACCCAGUGCCUACCAGUGUGUGCUUCUCCCUCCGAUUGUACAUACGUGCGGGUCCCACAUAUCAGCCCCUUCCAUCCUCUUUACUUUAUAAUCUCCAAAGCAUGGGCCGCCCUUCUUUGUUACCUGUAUGGCUGUAUCACCUCCCCUGCCGAUGAGUGCCCAUGCAUGCUGAUACUUUGGUACCAUCUGCUCCAACCAAGCACCACCUCUCAUGCAAGUCAACAUAGAUGGUAUUUGGUGUCAAUUCACUGCUUAUAUUUUUAAAUGAAUUUAAUAUAAAUUUUGAUUAUCUAUUGCUUCUAAAUUCAUGUCGAAAUUAAUUUGAUAAUUUUUUAACCUAUAAUAUCCUAUACUUCAUUUUAUGAGGAAACUAUCAGAAAAUGAAUUGUAAUUUUUAUGACUCAUAUCUAUUUGCUCUCUUUAUUAGAUAUUUUGCUUUCCAAUUGUAUGUAAAUCAAACUUUUAUUUUAUUUUUAUCAUUCGGAGUUUUAGUUUUUUUAUUACUUCCAUGUCAAGAUGAUAUUCUGGACAAGAUUCCAAUCAACCUUUUGAAAAUCUAACCACUAUUGACAGCUUUUAGAAUAUUCAGUUUGAAAAUUAGAAUACUCAUUGAAAGACAUAAUAUAAUAUUUUGUAUGUUUAUAUAAUAUCUUCUUACUGAAAAUAGCGGCCACACAGCUAUGUUAUCCAAAACACCUUCUUUUCUUUAAGAACAGGGGAACGAUUGUUUUUUUCCUAUUUUAUUAAUAUGAUAUUUUAUAGUCAAUCCGGAGACUUCUUUUCUCUUAGCUUUGCCUUAUUAAAAUAACAAUUGAAGAUUCCGUAACUAUGGUUGGAGCCAGAUAUUUACUUCCAUGGCCCCAGUUCGCUGGUCUUCCUCUCGAGUCAGCGACCGGAAUGUGUGGUUCAGAGCAACCAGAGAACAGAAUAUCUACACACGAUUGAUUGGAAUUUGGAAACUGCAAACCAGUAGCGCAAUGGCUCCUGCCAAGGAUCGCCUCCACAACCUUCUGGUCCUGCUCUUGUUCAUAGGUUGCCUCUUCAUAGAUGCUGCCGCCAAGCUUAACACCACAGCGCCUUGCCUCCCGGAUCAAGCUUCUUCCCUCCUCCGGCUAAAAGCUUCCUUCAUCGGUGACAACCUACCAUCAUGGCAAGCUGCAACAGAUUGUUGCCACUGGGAGGGCGUCACCUGCGACAUGGCCUUUGGAAGAGUCAUUUCUCUUGACCUCAGUGAGUUCCACCUAAUGAGCAGGCGUCUUGAUCCUGCGCUCUUCAACCUCACCUCUCUCAGGAACCUCAGCCUUGCAUCUGUUGACUUCAGUGGAUAUUUCAUUUCGCUCCCGGCUUUUGGGUUUGAGCGGCUCACGGAUAUCAUUUACCUCAACCUCUCUGAUACCGGUUUUAAGGGUAAGAUCCCAAUUGGAAUUGCGUGCCUCAAGAACCUUGUGACCAUUGACUUGUCUGGUAAUUACAACUUGUAUUUUGAACGGCCAAGUUUCCAAACCAUCAUGGCAAAUAUGAGCAAUCUGAGGGAGCUUUAUCUUGAUGAAGUGGGUUUACAGGACAUCGGAUCGGAUUGGUCCACUGUUUUAGCAGACUCCGUUCCCCAGCUACAGAUUCUUAGUUUGUCCCGCUGUGAUAUAUCAGGUUCUAUCCACCCUUCAUUCUCAAGGCUUCGCUCACUUACAGCGAUCAACCUCGGAUACAAUGAUGGACUCACCGGCGGCAAAGUCCCGGAGUACUUUUCUGAACUAUCUUCCUUGACCAUUUUAGACAUAUCAGGAAAUCAAUUUGAAGGGCAAUUUCCAACAAAAAUAUUCCAGCUAAAAAGUUUGAGGACGCUUGAUUUGUCCUGGAACCCCAUGCUUUCUACGAGAUUAACAUAUUUCCCAGCUGGAAACAAUUUGGAAGUACUAAAUCUAGAAGGGACCAAUUUCUCUUAUGACACGCCAUCCUCGUUUGGUAAUCUCGAGUCUUUACAGACAUUGGGGCUUAGCACGAUGGGCAUUGAUAAUGAACUCGCCUCUUUGAUAUCUGAGCUUCCAGCAUUGGAUGACCUGCAACUCUUUGGGUCAGGUUUGGAGAACCCGGUAUUAUCUUGGGUCAGCAAUCUUACCCAAUUGACAAACCUGCAGCUUGAUGGUUAUGACUUCACUAAAUCGGUUCCCACUUGGAUCGGCAAAUUGACAAGGCUGGAAAGUUUGACGAUAGAGGAUUGCAGUUUCUCCGUGCCAAUACCAUACCAGAUUAGAAAUCUUACUAAAUUGGCAGCGCUGCAGUUCUCAGGUUGCGACUUCGCUGAGCAAAGAAUGCCAUCAUGGAUAGGCAAUCUUACAAAGUUGACUUCUUUGGUCAUUGGUGGUUGCAGUUUAUCUGGGCCAAUACCCUCAACAAUUGGGAACCUGAUCCAACUUGAAGAGUUGAAGUUCUCCUAUACUGACAUCAGCGGUGAGACUAUGUCCCAGUUACUUUCUUUCUAGAUACCUCAUUUUAUUUUGCAACUGUAGACAGACGCUUUAAUUUCUUUAAUUCGCUCUUGCUCCUCAUACUCGAACUAGGAAGCAGGGGAUACCUACUAUAUGACACGUCAUGCAUACACUGUUAAAAAAAAUAAUGAAUUUAAGUGAAGAAGAAAAUUUAACACUACCAAAUCAAUAGAGUGACCUUCAGAAAAAAAGAAAAAGGCUUUGGCUAGUAAUUUUCGGCGCUGUUGAGAAAAGAAAAACCCUGAUAUUUUCACUUUGAGUCUAUGACCAAAUUUUCAUAGUUUCACAGUUUGGAAGGUUAGAUGCCUUUAACACUAGUACACACGAGUCACGACUCAGGUCUUCUUUUCCUUCUUUUUUUUCUCUCUUGACAUGAUUCAUUUCAGAUACCAUAAUACAGUAUUGGUCCAUUUAUAAAUAUACCAAGGAAUAUUAAUUUUUUCGGACAGGCCUUUUUUAUUAUUUUGAUCAGAUUUACAUGUAAAUGUUCUCUAACAAGAAAUCAACUUUAGUAUAUAUCAUUUGUAGAUCGAAACACUGGAUCUGUAAAAUAUAUAUUGAAUAUGUUGUGUUAACGUUGUUCAACUUUCUCCGGUCUAAGGCCUCUUUGAAACAAAGGAACAACAAAAGAACUAUUGAAAAACCUGAGCGUGGUCUCUCUCUCCCUCUCUUUCUCUCUCAAACCUGAGCGUGGUCUGGAUUUUCUACUGAUUUGUGAAGGAAGAGGACCCUUUCUUUCUUGUGGAAUUGGAAUUGGAUGGUGCAUUCCCAAAUUCCAAAAUCCAAACGGUACUUUCCUUUCCUCCGGAACGCAGUUACUUUAGUGUCCUUGCCCCCUGUCAGUUUCGUCGCUUUUUUAGGCUAGUCUCAAUGCACAACUUCAUUGCAUUGUUACCAAAACUGCAAACUUGGUAACUGUGCCUGUUGGAUUUCAUGGGAAUGAAACUCCUCUCCCAUUUCAUGAAACUCCAUCCUCUCUCCUCAUAAAGACUUUGCCAAAUCAGCAAAAUUGCUGAUGUGGUAUAGAAAUUAAUGCUGAUGAAACUUUUUAUAAAACUUUCACUGAGACUAGCCUUAGAUUGCAGCAACAUUCGGAUAUGUUUAGCUCCAAUGUAAUGAGAUGCUAAUUUGGUUCAAUUUCAUACUAGCACUUUCAGUGUGAAAAAACAUUAAUAAAGUCUGCAACAUUCUGACUGUUGGUAUUCUACCCUAACAUGCAGGAAAAAUUCCGAAGUCUUUGUUCACUCUUCCAGGCCUGCAGCAUCUUCAUCUAAUUAAGAAUCAGCUUGUUGGCUCACUAGAAGACAUUCCUGCUCCUUUAUCGUCACCAUUGCGGGAGAUUGAUUUAGGAGGUAAUCAAUUGACAGGCCCAAUACCAAAAUCACUUUUUCAGCUCACGAAUCUUGAGCGUCUCAGUCUUGAAUCGAAUAAAUUGACAGGCACAAUAGAACUUGGCUCUAUAUGGAGGUUGAAAAAUCUCACUUAUCUUAACCUGGGUAACAAUUUGAUAUCACUCGUAGAAAAAGAAGGUGAUAUGAUAUUCUCUUAUUCCCUUAAAAUCCAAGAGUUAUACCUUCCAUCUUGCAACCUUACAAAAUUUCCGGAAUCAUUAAAAUAUCUUGACACUAUUCAAGUUCUCGACCUUUCUAAUAACCAAAUCGAAGGGGCCAUACCUAGUUGGGUGUGGGAGAAUCCCCUUGUUGAGUUGGAGCUCUCACGCAACAUGUUUACUACUUU